UGAUCCCGGGAGGGGUGCACAGAGAAGGAAUAAAGGAGGAGAUAGAGGAGCUUUCUGAAACCAGGUGCCUUACCUGGUGCUUCUCAGGUCUCAGCACGACAGGCCUGUUCAGGUGCCCUCAUCUCCAGGUGUGCCAGCUGAGCCCUAAGGACAGGACCUGUCUUAGCUAGCCACACUCAGCUCCUGAGCAUCAAAGCCUGCUUGGCCCAACUCCAGAGCUCUGCAUUUCCAGGCUUGUUCUUCAAAAACUAUAUCUGAGAUGCAAAAACAACCAAAAUGUACUCUGUGGUACAGAAAUGCAAUCCCUACAGAACAGAAGAUAUAGUCAGAAGGGGAGCUUGGAAAAAUGGAAAUGCUGAAGCUUGACGAGGG